rnacentral:misc_RNA from 1 species
AAAGUCGUAACAAGGUUUCCGUAGGUGAACCUGCGGAAGGAUCAUUAAAGAUUCGACCUUUGGGUCUAUCUUCUCUUCAGCUGUGCGCUUAGGCUGCACGCUGUUGAAUUUCACACACCUGUGCACACUUCGGUUGUGACUAGUUAACUCUAGUCGCUUCCGCUUUUACAUUUAACAACCAAGUCUAGAAUGUCAAAUACAAUAAAAUAACAACUUUUAACAACGGAUCUCUUGGCUCUC